rnacentral:rRNA from 1 species
GUCGAGAAUUUUUCACAAUGGGCGCAAGCCUGAUGGAGCGACGCCGCGUGGGGGAUGAAUGGCUUCGGCCCGUAAACCCCUGUCAUCCGGGACCAACCCCUUGGACCUAACACGUUCAAGGCUGAUAGUACCGGAAGAGGAAGGGACGGCUAACUCUGUGCCAGCAGCCGCGGUAAUACAGAGGUCCCAAGCGUUGUUCGGAUUCACUGGGCGUAAAGGGUGCGUAGGCGGUCGGGUAAGUCUGAUGUGAAAGCUCGGAGCUUAACUCCGAAAUGGCAUCGGAAACUAUCCGGCUUGAGGGGUGGAGGGGGGACUGGAAUUCUCGGUGUAGCAGUGAAAUGCGUAGAUAUCGAGAGGAACACCCGUGGCGAAGGCGAGUCCCUGGACACCUCCUGACGCUGAGGCACGAAAGCUAGGGGAGCAAACAGGAUUAGAUACCCUUGUAGUCC